GGUUGGAUGGCCGAGCGGUCUAAGGCGCCAGACUAAGGAUCAGCUUUACACGUAUGAGCAUCAUUUCCAAUUGGGAAUCUGGUCCUCCGGGGCGUGGGUUCGAAUCCCACUCCAAUCA